UACAGAGGUCUCAAGCGUUGUUCGGAUUCAUUGGGCGUAAAGGGCGCGUAGGCGGUCUUCUAAGUCUUGUGUGAAAUCCCUCGGCUCAACUGAGGAACUGCACGGGAUACUGGAAGACUUGAGUUCGGGAGAGGGAAGCGGAAUUCCGGGUGUAGCGGUGAAAUGCGUAGAUAUCCGGAGGAACACCGGUGGCGAAGGCGGCUUCCUGGACCGAUCACUGACGCUGAGGCGCGAAAGCUAGGGGAGCAAACGGG
rnacentral:rRNA from 1 species